GAAAAACUCUAGCUCUGAGCCUGAUGACAAAAUCUAACGAAACCACAAAAGCUCUCUGAGAUGGGAAACAAGCUUGUGUUGUAACAUGUCUGCAGCCCACAGUGACAGGAAACACCAAACCGCUGUACAGAAACCUCUGGAGCAGAGACAACACAAUACUGAUCAACAUUAAACACAAAAGACAAAACAAACGGAUGGAUUCACGUUGUAUUUAACUGAAGACGUUUCAAUAAUCUCUACGUACUGGUUUACUUCACAGACUUGGGUUUGUUAGUGCGUUUGUUCUUAUCUUUAUAAAAUAUGUUUCUCUGUUGUUCUCUCUUGGUCUGUGAUUAAUUAAGGUGUACCACAGGGUUCAAUCCUAGGUCCUCUCAGUUUAUAUUUACAUGCUGCUUUAUCUGAGGAAUUGUCUUUGUUUUGCAGACAAUACGUGAAGAGUCUGAUAUAAUUCAGUCAACGUAGCAGCUGGAUUUUCUUUUGUAAAUUUAGGAAUUAGUUUAAGGAAAUUAAGUGAUAAGAGAUCACCAAACUAUAACAAUGAUCAACUGCAGCUGAUACAACAUGCUGCUACCAGUCUGUUACCCAGGAGGAAGUGUAACUGAGAGAAGUGAAAUACAGACCUAAGAGGAGACAGAGAGAUUCAGGGAGGAGCUAAGAUGUUCCUGAACUAUAGAAGAGAGAGGAACUUCCAUAUUCACCAGAGUUCAACACAGACCAUCAUCAUCACCUUCAUUCAACAUGCUGUCCCUGCAGAACUCAGCUUUUUCUCUGAUGUUGUUUGCAAUCUUAUCCGGCGUCAGCUGUGAAGAUCUGACUCCAGUCAAAACAGACGAGUUCAGUUCAGAAGGCAGCACUGUUACUCUGUCCUACAAAGCUGGAUCUAAUGCUAAUUAUUACUUCUGGUAUCGACAAUAUCCUGGAAAACCACCAGAGUUCCUCAUCUCACACUCUGCUUCAGGCCAAGUAGGAACUAACCCAAUCCCUGGACUGAAUAUUACAGUGACGAAAAAGCAAAAGGAGUCAAACCGAAUCAAUAUGAUCAUCUCCUCUGCUGCAGUGACAGACUCUGCUGUGUACUACUGUGCUCUGAGGCCCACAGUGACAGGAAACACCAACACUCUGUACAAAAACCUUUGGAGCAAAGACAACACAGUACUGCACAGCAUCCACCAGAGGGAGUCUCUCUCUGUUAGACUUCAGCAGAGUUUAUCAGUCCUCUUUAUACUCGCUGUAGCUCAGAGUUUCUCAACUUGCAGAUAUGAUGCAUCUGAUUAUCUCAGUGUUGCUGGCUGCUAUGAGUCUUGAAUGCAGAGCCCAAAGAGACAACGUGCUGCAACCUGAAGCAGAAAAGACUGCUACUAAAGGAGAGGCAGUAACACUUGGCUGUCACUAUAACAGCAGUUCAUCAAAUGACUAUCUCUUCUGGUACAAACAGCUCGGAGACAACAGCCCCACAUUCAUCCUGAGCCGCUUUAAGAUCGGCACGGGGAAAACAGAGGACGAGGACAGAUUCUCAUCCACAUUGGAUUCAAGCUUAAGAUCCGUUCCUCUGAAGAUCCAGAAGCUUCAGCUGUCUGACUCUGCUGUGUACUACUGUGCUCUGCAGCCCACAGUGACAGGAAACACCAACACUCUGUACAAAAACCUUUGGAGCAAAGACAACACAAUACUGCACAGCAUCCACCAGAGGGAGUCUCUCUCUGUUAGACUUUAG